rnacentral:rRNA from 1 species
CACGUAGGGUGCGAGCGUUGUCCGGAAUUAUUGGGCGUAAAGAGCUCGUAGGCGGUGUGUCGCGUCGGCCGUGAAAACCUGCAGCUUAACUGUGAGCUUGCGGUCGAUACGGGCAUCACUGGAGUUCGGCAGGGGAGACUGGAAUUCCUGGUGUAGCGGUGAAAUGCGCAGAUAUCAGGAGGAACACCGAUGGCGAAGGCAGGUCUCUGGGCAUUAACUGACGCUGAGGAGCGAAAGCAUGGGGAGCGAACAGG